GACGAACGCUGGCGGCGUGCUUAACACAUGCAAGUCGAACGGAAAGGCCCUGCUUUUGUGGGGUGCUCGAGUGGCGAACGGGUGAGUAACACGUGAGUAACCUGCCCUUGACUUUGGGAUAACUUCAGGAAACUGGGGCUAAUACCGGAUAGGAGCUCCUGCUGCAUGGUGGGGGUUGGAAAGUUUCGGCGGUUGGGGAUGGACUCGCGGCUUAUCAGCUUGUUGGUGGGGUAGUGGCUUACCAAGGCUUUGACGGGUAGCCGGCCUGAGAGGGUGACCGGCCACAUUGGGACUGAGAGACGGCCCAGACGCCUACGGGAGGCAGCAGUGGGGAAUAUUGCACAAUGGGCGGAAGCCUGAUGCAGCAACGCCGCGUGCGGGAUGACGGCCUUCGGGUUGUAAACCGCUUUCGCCUGUGAUGAAGCGUGAGUGACGGUAAUGGGUAAAGAAGCACCGGCUAACUACGUG
rnacentral:rRNA from 1 species